rnacentral:rRNA from 1 species
UGGGGAAUAUUGCACAAUGGGCGAAAGCCUGAUGCAGCGACGCCGCGUGAGGGAUGACGGCCUUCGGGUUGUAAACCUCUUUCAGUAGGGACGAAGCGCAAGUGACGGUACCUGCAGAAGAAGCACCGGCUAACUACGUGCCAGCAGCCGCGGUAAUACGUAGGGUGCGAGCGUUGUCCGGAAUUACUGGGCGUAAGAGCUCGUAGGCGGUUUGUCACGUCGUCUGUGAAAUCCUAGGGCUUAACCCUGGACGUGCAGGCGAUACGGGCUGACUUGAGUACUACAGGGGAGACUGGAAUUUCUGGUGUAGCGGUGGAAUGCACAGAUAUCAGGAAGAACACCGAUGGCGAAGGCAGGUCUCUGGGUAGUAACUGACGCUGAGGAGCGAAAGCAUGGGUAGCGAACAGG